rnacentral:rRNA from 1 species
ACUCAAAUGAAUUGACGGGGGCCCGCACAAGCAGCGGAGCGUGUGGUUUAAUUCGAUGCGACGCGAAGAACCUUACCUGGGUUUGACAUGCGCCUGCACCACCCGUAAUGGGGUGUCCCCUUCGGGGGCGGGCGCACAGGUGCUGCAUGGCUGUCGUCAGCUCGUGCCGUGAGGUGUUGGGUUAAGUCCCCUAACGAGCGCAACCCCUGGGGUCCGUUACAUGCUUUCGGGCUCGACUGCCGCGCGCAACGCGGAGGAAGGCGGGGAUGACGUCAAGUCAGCACGGCCCUUACGUCCAGGGCGACACACACGCUACAAUGGCCGGUACAAUGGGUCGCCAAGCCGCGAGGUGGAGCCAAUCCCAACAAAGCCGGUCUCAGUUCGGAUUGCAGGCUGCAACUCGCCUGCAUGAAGCUGGAGUUGCUAGUAACCGCGGGUCAGCACACCGCGGUGAAUACGUUCCCGGGCCUUGUACACACCGCCCGU